GCAAAUUUAAGGACUUGUGACUUGCUUGACUAAAUAAAGAAAAUGACUUGACUUGACUUGGACUUGAGAUCCAGUGACUUGAGACUUGACUUGACUUGACCUUCAUGACUCGGCAGGACUUGACUUUAUAACAACUAAUUAUUAUUAUAAAUCAUUGCGAGUGCGAUAUAAUUUGGUAAACAAAACGCAAGCCCCUGAACCAGUGGCAGAAUUGAUCCGAGUCUGCGCAGUUCAUGACACUGCACGAGCGCAGGAACACAGCGCGCCAAAUAGAGGGAGCAAGAGAAUCUCGCGAUGUUUGGAUUAACACUCUUCCAAACUAUAUGCAUUUGCAAAGCCAGGACGUCACCACUUCAUAAAGGCAAUAAGCAGUACACACAGAUGGAGGAGAGGAGAGAGAAGAGGAGAACACACACCGGACACACACUGAACAGCAGCGUCCAGCAGAGCACACAGUCUGAUGCAGGAGGUGUGGAGGAGGUGUUGAACCUCUCAGCACCAGGACGCACUGACUCUAAAUCAAACAGAAGUCAUUUUAAACACUGCCACACUUUUCUGAACAACACACCUGCCAAAGCAAAUACAAGUUCAAAUACAAGAAAAAUGACUAUCAAAUUAAUACCAUGGCAUUAAACAUAGCAUUAAAAAAAAACUAAUAUGGACUUACACAUAAGUGUGAUGACUGUAACU